rnacentral:rRNA from 1 species
GACGAACGCUGGCGGCGUGCCUAAUACAUGCAAGUUGAGCGCUGAAGGCUGGUACUUGUACCAACUGGGUGAGCAGCGAACGGGUGAGUAACGCGUGGGGAAUCUGCCUUUGAGCGGGGGACAACAUUUGGAAACGAAUGCUAAUACCGCAUAAAAACUUUAAACACAAGUUUUAAGUUUGAAAGAUGCAAUUGCAUCACUCAAAGAUGAUCCCGCGUUGUAUUAGCUAGUUGGUGAGGUAAAGGCUCACCAAGGCGAUGAUACAUAGCCGACCUGAGAGGGUGAUCGGCCACAUUGGGACUGAGACACGGCCCAAACUCCUACGGGAGGCAGCAGUAGGGAAUCUUCGGCAAUGGACGAAAGUCUGACCGAGCAACGCCGCGUGAGUGAAGAAGGUUGUCGGAUCGUAAAACUCUGUUGGUAGAGAAGAACGUUGGUGAGAGUGGAAAGCUCAUCAAGUGACGGUAACUACCCAGAAAGGGACGGCUAACUACGUG